CUUUUAUUGUGUCUUUCUUUCCCUCGAUAAACUGUUUGUGAUCAGCGAAAAUGGUUGUUUAUCUAAACGACAGGACAUUUCUCAUCCAUUAACUAGCUAACGUUAGCUUUCUCACUCGCACUUGAACCCCUGACCAGUGAGUUCAACUGAGAUUAUUUUCGUCUUUGCGUUUUUAUGAUUUCUUUUUGACUCGAGGAGCUGUUGUUUGUGAGGUGUGCAAAUGUAGUUUUACUCAUACAGCAGCCGCAUUUCCCGCGGAGGAGAGAAGACAGUGGGUCUAAUAUGGUGAGUAACAUUACAAUAAUUUAGACAUGGCUAUUGUUUGAAAAAGCAAGUUUAAGUUAAUUAACGGUAUAAAUACAAAAACAGAUUAAUAUACUUCUGUUCUAUCUAGGUUCAGAGCCUUCUGAAUGACUGUCUUGUUUGGGAAGGAAGAAGAAAUGGAAGAGAUGCUUUGGAAGUAAUGCAGCUGACAAGACAGACUACAGUAAAAAUCCUCAGCGUUGAUCAAGAAAGUCUACAGCUCAACCCAUUAAGAGUGAAAAUCAUCCUGAAAGAAAGUUUGCAGGUAAUGCUCACCCUCGGACAAGGUGAGCCUGGACCCAAAAUUCAAUGAACUCAAUCUGAAUUGCAAUAUCAUUGGCGUUGGACGAUUCACUGCCAUCAAUAAUUAAAGAUUGUAUAUUAUUUUUUUCCUGUCUGCUCUUUUCCAAUCUACAGAAAUACGCCAAAUUUCUCUUGCCGCCUUCUGUCCAUUUCACCCUUCUUUCUUGUAACUCAUCCCUCUCACAGCUGACUGAAUGGCUCAUUAUGCAGCUCAUUAUGCAGGCCUUUGUCUUCUCAGGUGUGAAUUCAUGAUAGUUGACGCCUACUCGCAUAUGACUUUUACCAACAAAAAGUG
ensembl:lncRNA